rnacentral:lncRNA from 14 species
CAUGGCUGGCAUUCCAUGCUGUGUGUCCUGGUGCUGUGUGUCCUGGUGCUGUGCAUCCCAGCAUCACAUGGCUGGUAUUCCAUGCUGUGUGUCCUGGUGCUGUGUGUCCCAGCUCUGGUGCUGAGGCAUCACAUGUCCCAGGAUUGCAUGUCCUGGCAUUGUCUGUCAUGGUGUUCCAUGGCCCGGGAUUGCAUAUCCCACUGUUGCACAUCCUGGUGUCGUAUGUCCCUCCAUUGUGUGUCCUGGUGUUGCAUGUCCCAACCAACACAUGUCCAGUAUCAUAUCCCAGCAUUGCAAAUCCUGGCACCAUGUGUCCCAGGAUUGAAUAUUCCAGUGCUGCAUGUCACAGUGUUCCAUAUCCCAGGAUCACAUAUCCCAGCAUUGCAUGUCCCAGCAGCUCACAGCCCAGGAUUGUGUAUCCUGGUGUUGCUGGUCCUGGCAUCACACCUCCAGGCUCUGCCCAUCCUCCUGGCAUUUCACAUCCCAAUGUUGAACAUCCCAACAUUGCACAUCCCAGUGCUGAACAUCCCAGCAUUGUGCAUCCCAACAUUGCACAUCCCAAUGCUGAACAUCCCAACGUGGUGCAUCCCAACAUUGCACAUCCCAAUGCUGAACAUCCAGGGAAGCAUCCUACAGAACAUUCCCGAUAUCCAUCCCUCACACAUCACCUCCAUCCCUGAGAGCAGGCGGUGGGGACAGGGACCCAUCCCGAACACCAUCCCCUUUUCCAGCCCCAAUGCCAGGGCUUUGGCAAAGCCGGAACGUGGCCCCGCUGAUCCCCCCUGCCUGUUUACACAGCUGUGGGAUACCCAUCCUCCUGCCCUUCCCCCUCCACCUCCAAUCCAGCCCUUUUCCCCCCAAAUCCAUCCCAAAACCCUGCGGAGGAGGUGGGAAUGGCCCAUUCUCUGGGAUGGUUGAUGGAGCCCCCUUGGUCUGGGUGUUGGAUGCUCUGCAGCAUCCCAAGGAGCAGCAUCUCUGCUUGUUUGGGGUAAAACCAGGCAGAUUUGGGUCCCAGCAGCUCAGGGGUCAGAGGAAAAUGGGAAUUCUGAGGGAAAAGGGUUUUCUUGGCUUGAGGCAUCGUCUGAUCCCACAGAAUUCCACAUGGGAGCCACAGGCUGGCAAAGGCCCAAAUGUGCCCCAGCAGGAGGUCCUGAGGCUGUAGGGGAGGGGGGGGAAGGAAAAGAGGAAGGGAAGGGAAAAGGGAGGAAGGGAAAGGGAAGGAGAAAAAGAAGGGGAAAUGGGGAAAAGGGGAGGAGAAGGGGGGGAAAGGGAAGGGGGGGA